UGUCUGUUAAUUAGAGCUGUCAAUUGUCAACAUUGGCUGGUCAAGUCGGGCAGAAUUUUUUAUCGGUCGGGUUAGUUGAAGACAAUCGGAUUGGUGCAGUUCAUAGCAGAGAUUUAUGCAGGGCUUUCUUUGACAUGUACCUUGGGGACGGUCCGGUCUCUGAGCAAACAAAAACAGAGAUCGGAGAAAAUGUCACGAAUAUAAUGCGAAUGUGCUAAUUUGGGCAUCCUGCUUCUCUCCAGCAUUUUAAAUGGAUAAUUAGUUUAGAAUCCUAGUCUUUAGCGACUCAUUAUGGUGUCAUGUAUUCUAGCAUGAUGCGACAAAAGAGGAUCAUUGAUUAUUACACUUAAAGUAGAGGUUAAUAUCCAUAGAGUUCAGUUUGUUUGUAAGGUUACACAAAGAUGCGUAAUCUUGUCAUUGUAGCUGCUUGUUGAACCGCAUAACAGUAAUGUAGUUUGUGGCGUGAAGAUGAAGAGG
rnacentral:lncRNA from 1 species